AGGCCCUGUGUGAGAAGCCCCCUUCCCAGUGAACUUUCCCUUGUGUGCCCGCGUGGACAGCCAACAGGGGGAGCAGUGCGAGCGUGAAGGCAGACAGUGGCCUGGCCCAGUCUGAUGGGAGAGACCCACCGACCCUGUGGGGCUGGUCCCUACAUCUGGCGCUCUGACGUGGGGCUCUCCCUCGCUGUGUGAAGUUGCACCCUGAGUGCGGGAUCAGCGGAGGAGUUCAACGAGAGAUUCCUGAGGAUUGCAGUCUAUAAACUUGGUGGAAAAGAACUACAGCCUGUGUGGGUCCCCUCCCGACAAUUAAAAUUGCACCAUAACUCCAAAGAUGAAACGCUCCCAGAAAGAAAAGGCAAAGACCCAUCGGAAACAAAAGAGCAACUUUCACCGCCUGAUACAUACACUUCAUGACAUCCACAUUGAGACAAAAUCUCGCCGUGUGACCUACAACACCUCUCGUUCAACCCCACCUACUUGGGGUCGAAUACAGAUUUUAUCUCAUCAAACAGAAAAAUUCUUAACAGAAAAAGGAAUCCCAAAAAUGACUGGUAAUAUAAUUCUGGCUGCCUUUAUGGUAGUCAGUGCAGCGGU
rnacentral:lncRNA from 1 species